AUUGAACGCUGGCGGCAUGCCUUACACAUGCAAGUCGAACGGUAACAGGUCUUCGGAUGCUGACGAGUGGCGAACGGGUGAGUAAUACAUCGGAACGUGCCUAGUAGUGGGGGAUAACUACUCGAAAGAGUGGCUAAUACCGCAUGAGAUCUACGGAUGAAAGCAGGGGAUCGCAAGACCUUGUGCUACUAGAGCGGCCGAUGGCAGAUUAGGUAGUUGGUGGGAUAAAAGCUUACCAAGCCGACGAUCUGUAGCUGGUCUGAGAGGACGACCAGCCACACUGGGACUGAGACACGGCCCAGACUCCUACGGGAGGCAGCAGUGGGGAAUUUUGGACAAUGGGCGAAAGCCUGAUCCAGCAAUGCCGCAUGCAGGAUGAAGGCCUUCGGGUUGUAAACUGCUUUUGUACGGAACGAAAAGCUUCGGGUUAAUACCCUGGAGUCAUGACGGUACCGUAAGAAUAAGCACCGGCUAACUACGUGCCAGCCGCCGCAGUAAUAC
rnacentral:rRNA from 1 species